rnacentral:rRNA from 1 species
GAUGAACGCUGGCGGCGUGCCUAAUACACGCAAGUCGAGCGAACAGAUGAGGAGCUUGCUCCUCUGACGUUAGCGGCGGACGGGUGAGUAACACGUGGAUAACCUACCUAUAAGACUGGGAUAACUUCGGGAAACCGGAGCUAAUACCGGAUAAUAUAUUGAACCGCAUGGUUCAAUAGUGAAAGACGGUUUUGCUGUCACUUAUAGAUGGAUCCGCGCCGCAUUAGCUAGUUGGUAAGGUAACGGCUUACCAAGGCAACGAUGCGUAGCCGACCUGAGAGGGUGAUCGGCCACACUGGAACUGAGACACGGUCCAGACUCCUACGGGAGGCAACAGUAGGGAAUCUUCCGCAAUGGGCGAAAGCCUGACGGAGCAACGCCGCGUGAGUGAUGAAGGUCUUCGGAUCGUAAAACUCUGUUAUUAGGGAAGAACAAAUGUGUAAGUAACUAUGCACGUCUUGACGGUACCUAAUCAGAAAGCCACGGCUAACUACGUG